rnacentral:rRNA from 1 species
GACGAACGCUGGCGGCGUGCUUAACACAUGCAAGUGGAGCGACGAAGCGGGCUUCGGCCCGUGGCAAAGCCGCGAACGGGUGAGUAACACGUGGGUAACCUGCCCCGAUGACCGGGACAACCCGAGGAAACUCGGGCUAAUACCGGAUGUGGUCGCACCACAUAAGUGGUUCGACUAAAGGUAGCUUCGGCCUCCGCAUCGGGAUGGGCCCGCGGCGCAUUAGCUUGUUGGUGGGGUAAUGGCCUACCAAGGCGACGAUGCGUAGCUGGUCUGAGAG